ACGUAGGUGGCAAGCGUUGUCCGGAAUUAUUGGGCGUAAAGCGCGCGCAGGCGGCUUCUUAAGUCCAUCUUAAAAGUGCGGGGCUUAACCCCGUGAUGGGAUGGAAACUGGGAGGCUGGAGUAUCGGAGAGGAAAGUGGAAUUCCUAGUGUAGCGGUGAAAUGCGUAGAGAUUAGGAAGAACACCGGUGGCGAAGGCGACUUUCUGGACGACAACUGACGCUGAGGCGCGAAAGCGUGGGGAGCAAACAG
rnacentral:rRNA from 1 species